AAAUAGGUUGUUUUUACAACCACUAACUCUCUCCUCCCAAACGAAU
rfam:Cathartes aura contig33185, whole genome shotgun sequence.